rnacentral:rRNA from 3 species
ACCCGUUCCCAUGCCGAACACGGAAGUUAAGCUCUUCAGCGCCGAUGGUAGUUGGGGGAUCUCCCCCUGUGAGAGUAGGACGUCGCCAGGC